CACGGGUUACAUUAACAAAAACAAGAAACAACGAUUACAACAAACAAGAGGAUAGAUAGUUAGACAAAAUGAAGGUGUAAUCUUAAAAACUCAAGAGCCUAUUCCACUCUUGGACCUUUAACAAUACACACAACGAAUACCUAACUCCUACGUUGGCACAAGAGUGACCUCGAUCUCCCAAGCAUCCAACGUUUCCAAGCUUGAAUCCAACACGAGUGAUUCCACACUCAAGUUGAUUUCCCUAGUUACAAUUUCGGCCAAGGAGGGUCAUUCUCUCUAGAGAGAUGUUUCUAAAUGUUACACUUUCAUAAUCAACAAAAACUAAAACUAAAAACCCUAAGAGGUUCUAUAUAUAGUGUAUUACAAAAUAGAAUACAAAAUGACCACAAUACCCCUCAAGGGUGAGGUGCCCAUAAAGUGUAACUUAGGGGCUGUUUUUAGUGCAUUUAGGCCCUCUUUUACACUUCACUUGUGCUACGCACUCGUUCUCGUCCAUCCUCGUGAUCGUACUCGUAUCAUGUACCCACCUAAACACUCGCAGUUUGACUUCCUUCUUCCUUAUGUGCACCCCCAUAGUUGCUAAAAUUGUCAGCUAGUUCAUUUUGCUCCAAUAAAUAUGCAAGACUGGUGGAUCAUUCAGCUGGCAGAGGAGAUAUCUGCAAUCAUCCAAGCGUUGUGAGUAAAGUAAAUUCGAACAAGUCAAUGUAUGUGCCACUUCAUGGGCA
rnacentral:lncRNA from 1 species